GUUGUUGCGGUUAAAAGCUCGUAGUUGGAUUUCUGCCGAGGACGACCGGGCCGCCCUCUGGGUGAGCAUCUGGAUCGGCCUGGGCAUCUUCUUGGAGAACGUGUCUGCACUUGACUGUGUGGUGCGGUAUCCAGGACUUUUGCUUUGAGGAAAUUAGAGUGUUUCAAGCAGGCAUACGCCUUGAAUACAUUAGCAUGGAAUAAUAAGAUAGGACCUCGGUUCUAUUUUGUUGGUUUCUAGAGCUGAGGUAAUGAUUAAUAGGGAUAGUUGGGGGCAUUCGUAUUUAACUGUCAGAGGUGAAAUUCUUUUAUUUGUUAAAGACGGACUACUGCGAAAGCAUUUGCCAAGGAUGUUUUCAUUGAUCAAGAAC
rnacentral:rRNA from 1 species